UACGGUGGGUGCAAGCGUUACUCGGACUCACUGGGCGUAAAAGGCGCGUAGGCGGCCUAGCAAGUCUGGUGUGAAAGCCCAGGGCUCAACCCUGGAAGGGCACUGGAAACUGUUAGGCUUGAGGUCCGGAGAGGAGGGGGGAAUUCCCGGUGUAGCGGUGAAAUGCGUAGAUAUCGGGAGGAAUACCGGUGGCGAAGGCGCCCCUCUGGACGGAAACUGACGCUGAGGCGCGAAAGCGUGGGGAGCAAACAGG
rnacentral:rRNA from 1 species